CAACUGACGGGGCCCUCCACCUGUCCCGGCUGCGGUGUACAUUUCUUGUUGCCAUGAAGAUCUUCCUGUGGACAGCCUGUAUUCUUCUGAUAGGAAUUGCCCAAGGGUACAACUUUGGUGACAUCAUUCAAUUUCCCAACCAUUAUGGAUUGGGUCUCGGUCGAAUAAAUGGACAAGGAGAGCUGUUUUUCCACCAGACUGAGAAUGGAUGUGAAAUUGGAGCUAUCAGACCCAACACAGGUUUAGUCCACAGAGUGAAUAAUUACCAAGAUGACGACAUCCCUACAAAUCUCAAUGAGAUAAAGAAUAGACUCGAGGAAUGCCUGAAAUACCUCAGCAAUCAAGCUGGAACACCAUGCUGUGGCAAAUAUAACCGUUUCACAAACAACUGUGAACAUACAGUUACCUAUAUCCGUUAUGGCAUGGAAGGAAGGGUGUCCUGUUUGGUACGGUCCAAGAUUCCUUUCAGACAUAGGAAAUGUAGGAACUGGACGAAACUGCCUCAAUCUUCUCUGUUCUGAGAUUUUUCUUUGAAUAAAGCAUGAUAGCAUCACA
rnacentral:lncRNA from 1 species